rnacentral:rRNA from 1 species
UACGUAGGUGGCAAGCGUUGUCCGGAAUUAUUGGGCGUAAAGCGCGCGCAGGCGGUCCUUUAAGUCUGAUGUGAAAGCCCCGGGCUCAACCUGGGAAUGGCAUUGGAAACUGGCGGACUAGAGUGUGGCAGAGGGGGGUGGAAUUCCGCGUGUAGCAGUGAAAUGCGUAGAGAUGCGGAGGAACACCGAUGGCGAAGGCAGCCCCCUGGGCUAACACUGACGCUCAGGCACGAAAGCGUGGGGAGCAAACAGG